GGCAACGGAUAUCUCGGCUCUCGCAUCGAUGAAGAACGUAGCGAAAUGCGAUACUUGGUGUGAAUUGCAGAAUCCCGUGAACCAUCGAGUCUUUGAACGCAAGUUGCGCCCGAAGCCAUCCGGCCGAGGGCACGUCUGCCUGGGCGUCACACGCCGUUGCCCCC
rnacentral:rRNA from 2 species